rnacentral:rRNA from 1 species
CUCGUGUCGUGAGAGUGUUCGGGUUAAGUCCCGCAACGAGACGCAACCCCUAUUGUUAGUUGCCAUCAUUUAGUUGGGCACUCUAGCGAGACUGCCGGUAAUAAACCGGAGGAAGGUGGGGAUGACGUCAAAUCAUCAUGCCCCUUAUGACCUGGGCUACACACGUGCUACAAUGGUUGGUACAACGAGUUGCGAGUCGGUGACGGCGAGCUAAAUCUCUUAAAGCCAAUCUCAGUUCGGAUUGUAGGCUGCAACUCGCCUACAUGAAGUCGGAAUCGCUAGUAAUCGCGGAUCAGCACGCCGCGGUGAAUACGUUCCCGGGCCUU